UACGUAGGUGGCAAGCGUUGUCCGGAUUUACUGGGCGUAAAGAGCGCGCAGGCGGUCGGAUAAGUCGAAUGUGAAAGCCCCCGGCUCAACUGGGGAGGGUCAUUCGAUACUGUUCGACUCGAAGGCAGGAGAGGGAAGUGGAAUUCCGGGUGUAGUGGUGAAAUGCGUAGAUAUCCGGAGGAACACCAGUGGCGAAGGCGACUUUCUGGCCUGUUCUUGACGCUGAGGCGCGAAAGCUAGGGGAGCAAACGGG
rnacentral:rRNA from 1 species